rnacentral:sRNA from 1 species
UGAUAAAAGAGUCAAAAGUCAAAAAUGAGUUUUAACUUGUUAAAAUCUCAUUUUGGCUUAGGACUCCAAACAAUAUGAGGAAGAUUGAUUUUUGUUAAAAAAUCAAGUGAUUCCGAAUAUUGUUUAAAACAUCCUGAGAGUGAAACGAAAGGAUGUUUUUAUCA